GUAUGAGUGGUUGAAGUAUAGCUCCUGGGAUUGGCCACGACUCAGCUGUUGUUACAGUUUCAUUUUUUACCCACAAGGUCCCCAGACUUAGAGAUCCAGGAGAUGAACUCAAGAGCAGCCCGUUGCCUGCAGUGGCUGACAUGAAGCCUUUCUGCGUCAUCGGUGUCUUGUCUGAUGCUUCCCCAGUGGAAUUUCCUGCUGUGUUCCUGGGAAACCCAAGCAACCAGAAGUUCAUCCAAUUAUUUAUUUGCUUCGAGUCAUCCGGAUGUAAAAGUAUGCAGCUAUCAUAUACUGGUGAAGACUCCUUCCAUGUAAACAUCCACAUACUCUGGGGAAACCUGCUGCCAAAGUAGGAGGAUUCCAAAGGACCUAGAGGAAGAAAAAGCUACAAUAUGGAAGACACCUGAGUUUCUGAAGGACUGUGUGGAGCACUUCCUUCUGCUGAUGAACAUGUGCUAUGAAAAAUAAACUUAUUUUGUUUAGCAACUAAGAUUUCUGAAUUACUUGUUACAGCAGUUAGUAUAUCCUGAUUAACAGACCUCAUCUUUUAUUCCUUUGGGCUUGAAUUUGAUGGCUUACCUGUGCUUUUCUUUGGCUUGACCAAGUAGUAUAGCAGCUGGCUUUCUGCUUGGUCAUUCUUUGCUCAGCAUUGAUAAAAUAGAGCAUAAUGAAGACAGAACAUUAAACACCUCCUUUUAAUCUUGUUUACCUGUUCAAUUUGCUUUGAAAGUGUUUAUUAUUUUAGAAAGGGCAAAAAGGUAUUGUAUUUAAUGGGAAGGUAAUUAACUAGG
rnacentral:lncRNA from 10 species